AACGAACGCUGGCGGCAUGCCUAACACAUGCAAGUCGAACGAGACCUUCGGGUCUAGUGGCGCACGGGUGCGUAACGCGUGGGAACCUGCCCUUAGGUUCGGAAUAACUCUCCGAAUGGGGUGCUAAUACCGGAUAAUGUCUUCGGACCAAAGAUUUAUCGCCUUUGGAUGGACCCGCGUUGGAUUAGCUCGUUGGUAGGGUAAAAGCCUACCAAGGCGACGAUCCAUAGCUGGUCUGAGAGGAUGGUCAGCCACACUGGGACUGAGACACGGCCGAGACUCCUACGCGAUGCAGCAGUGGGGAAUAUUGGACAGUGGGCGGAAGCCUGAUCCAGCAAUGCCGCGAGAGUGAUGAAGGCCGUAGAGUUGUAAAGCUCUUUUACCCGGGAUGAUAAUGACAGUACCGGGAGAAUAAGCUCCGGCUAACUCCGUG
rnacentral:rRNA from 1 species